ACUCAUACAUUCCCUCAAAGAAGCAAUGAAGCAACAACACAUUGUCUUGUUUUUCUUUGUUGUCUUUGUUUCCUCUUUCUUAGCUUCUGCUCGUCUCCAUUUGGAUUCAAAACAAGAUGCAAAGGUGGUGAAUGUGGUUGAAAACGGUGUUGUUCAGUCACACACUGAAUCAAAAGAUGAUUAUAUCCAUAAAUUAUCAGAAUCUGAGAAGCGGUUGAUGGAAGAAGCACAUUUGGAUUAUAUCUACACCCAACCCCACCCUCCACCACAUGCGAAAUAAAUCAAAUUGGAAAUG